rnacentral:rRNA from 1 species
AUUGAACGCUGGCGGCAUGCCUUACACAUGCAAGUCGAACGGCAGCACGGGACAACCUGGUGGCGAGUGGCGAACGGGUGCGUAAUGCAUCGGAACGUACCUUUCAGUGGGGGAUAAUGUAGCGAAAGUUACGCUAAUACCGCAUUUUCUGUGACCAGGCAAGCAGGGGAUCGCAAGACCUUGCGCUGGUCGAGCGGCCCAUGUCAGCUUAGGUAGGUGGUGGGGUAAAGACUCACCAAGCCGACGAUCUGUAGCUGGUCUGAGAGGACGACCAGCCACACUGGGACUGAGACACGGCGCAGACUCCUACGGGAGUCAGCAGUGGGGAAUUUUGGACAAUGGGCGCAAGCCUGAUCCAGCCAUGCCGCGUGCAGGAUGAAGGCCUUCGGGUUGUAAACUGCUUUUGUACGGAACGAAAAGGUUUGGCCUAAUACGCUGAACUCAUGACGGUACCGUAAGAAUAAGCACCGGCUAACUACGUGCCAGCCGCCGCAGUAACAC